UACGGAGGGAGCUAGCGUUGUUCGGAAUUACUGGGCGUAAAGCGUACGUAGGCGGUUAUUCAAGUCAGAGGUGAAAGCCCGGGGCUCAACCCCGGAACUGCCUUUGAAACUAGAUGGCUUGAAUCUUGGAGAGGCGAGUGGAAUUCCGAGUGUAGAGGUGAAAUUCGUAGAUAUUCGGAAGAACACCAGUGGCGAAGGCGACUCGCUGGACAAGUAUUGACGCUGAGGUGCGAAAGCGUGGGGAGCAAACAGG
rnacentral:rRNA from 1 species